rnacentral:ribozyme from 1 species
ACACCGGCGCCUGGAAAGAAAACAAACCUCAUGAUGAGAAGGGCGAAGGUGAAUAUAUAUUUGCUGCAAGCAAAUAGACAAUCACAGGCAAAUGGAUUGAUGGAAAGUUUGAAUCU